AAGAGUUUGAUCCUGGCUCAGAACGAACGCUGGCGGCAGGCUUAACACAUGCAAGUCGAGCGCCCCGCAAGGGGAGCGGCAGACGGGUGAGUAACGCGUGGGAAUCUACCUAUCACUACGGAACAACUCCGGGAAACUGGAGCUAAUACCGUAUACGUCCGAGAGGAGAAAGAUUUAUCGGUGAUAGAUGAGCCCGCGUUGGAUUAGCUAGUUGGUGGGGUAAUGGCCUACCAAGGCGACGAUCCAUAGCUGGUCUGAGAGGAUGAUCAGCCACACUGGGACUGAGACACGGCCCAGACUCCUACGGGAGGCAGCAGUGGGGAAUAUUGGACAAUGGGCGAAAGCCUGAUCCAGCCAUGCCGCGUGAGUGAUGAAGGCCUUAGGGUUGUAAAGCUCUUUCACCGGUGAAGAUAAUGACGGUAACCGGAGAAGAAGCCCCGGCUAACUUCGUG
rnacentral:rRNA from 1 species